UUAGUUUCCAGGAUGUCUCCAGCUUUAUACAUGUUUGGAUUUUUACUGUUCAUGCUCACAGGAAAAGUGAAGAGUGUCACCUUUGAACAGUCCCCCUCUCAGAUUGUGAAGAAAGGGACUAAGGAGCUCAGGAUUAACUGCAGUCAUGAUGGCAGCAACCUGCAAAGAAUGCUGUGGUACCAACACAAACCGAGCAGCCAGUCCAUGAGCCUCAUUGGGUACACAGUUCUCACGAGUGACCCAGUCUUCGAGGACCAGUUUAAAGACAGAUUCCAGCUGAAAAGAGAAGACAUACUGAGAGGAUCUCUGAUCAUUCUCACAGUGGAUCCAUCAGACUCAGCUGUGUAUUUCUGUGCUGCUAGCACACACUGA